rnacentral:rRNA from 1 species
AAGGUAGCGUAAUAACCAGCCCUCUAAUUAAAGGCCAGUGAAAGGCGACACGUGGGAACACCUAUAUCUAAUGUGUCAAAAGAAACUUACCUCUGAGUGAAAAGGCUCAGCUAAUGAGAGAAGACGAAAAGACCCCGCGGAGCUUUACUUAAACGCCAUAACCCAUACAAAGUUUACCGCCAAGAGUUUGGUUGGGGCAACCUUGGAACAAACUCAUCUUCCAAUCCACCUACCUUAAACUAUAAAAAACCUACUAAGGACCAAAAAGAAGCUACCCCGGGGAUAACAGCGUAAUCCAACUUAAA